rfam:Kitasatospora setae KM-6054 DNA, complete genome.
AAGACACCUCGUUCGGUGAGGCGUCUUCACGGACACAGGCCACUGAUCCCACCCGUCGAGAGACGCUCCGGAUCAGGACAGGUCUCCCCGGCCCAAGGGGUGAUCCCAAGUGGCUUCCCCACCGUCGGGGACACGCCGUGGAGUGCCAAAGCUCUGACGAGUUGGGGUGUGCC